rnacentral:lncRNA from 1 species
AAUAGUCUCAACUCUCAAAUUACAAUCUCAGAAUUCAAAUUAAAUUUCAAACAUAAGUUCUAACAAAAAAUAUUUGUUCAAAAUGUAACAAAAAAAUAACAAACACCGCAUGUCUUGCUUCCCACUUCAAUUUCCGCAGCUCCAGCUGAUCUGGAUCAACCAAAAAAAAUUCAUAAAAUCAGUGUCUGAAAUUACUAAAUAAAAAUCAUCAUAUCAAAUUUCUAAAAAAGAAAUUACUAAAUAAAAAUCAUCAUAUCAAAUUUCUAAAAAAUAUGAAAGUUAGAUGUACUGUUUUGGUCUAGCUUUUCUUUUUAUUUUGUAACAAUAGCACUCAAAUUAAGUACACAAGCACAUCUGAAAAUGAACAUAAGAACAACAAAAAGAAUUUCAGAUAGUGAAUAGAACAAUAAGUAAUUUGUAGGCCUUUACUAUGGCCUUAGCCAUGAAGGAUCCAACAAGGCCUUGCCUUUUUUUGCCUAUCUAACAAAAGCAAAUAUUGCAGUAUAUACAAAACAAUAUUAGAAAGAGAUAACAAGGAGAAAAAAUACAAGAUCUUUUCACUUCACACGGCAAAUCAUCAAGGAAAAAGGGAACACCUAUGAAAUCUUCAGGCAAUAUAGUAAUAAUCUAAAUCAAGUUUACCAUAGGUCGCGGGACCAAAUGUUCAUCAACAAAUAAGAAGACAAUAGUUAAGAAAAUUACAUAAAAAACGCAUGCAUCUUUGUGUUCCACAAAUAGAAUAUUCUUCCUAGCAUUGUAUUAUCCUCAAAUGAGGCUACUACUUUUGGUAAUAUUAGCAAGUCUUUAAAUAUGUAUCAUAGUUCUGUGCAGAAGCAAAGAACAUCAAAUGGUAGUUUGAGAUAGACAUCAUAAUAUCCCUAUACAAGGUCCUACUGUAUUGAAGAAACCUUAAUGACAAGAUGUUCCCUUCCUUUCUACAGUACAAGUCAGGUUGCCAAGGGUUAAAUAAAGCGAGCAAACGACAUAUGAUUAUAUACUUGUAUAUUAGGAUACUAUCCUAGAAAAACAUGAGAUGAUAUACGAAGCAAAGAUAAAAUUUUAUCCAUAACUAGUAAACCCAUCUCUGUACUUAUAUUCAUCUCGGAGGGUUCAUAUUUGAGAGUUUUUGUUCAAAAACGGAGGGUUCAUAUUUGAGACAAACAAAGCUUAGGUUCUGUUUUUGCAUAGCUUUUGACGCGAUCUAUUUGAAUUGAACAAAAAUCAAACUCAUUCCUUCCAAUUAUGCAAGAAAGUUUUCAUCUUAAGCAAAAUAGCAUACAAUAAUUGCCUUAUGAUCAGGAUUUGACCCGAAGAUAAAAAAAACUUACCAUGUUCUCAAUUUGUAUGGUAGUAGUCAAAGACCAAAGCAAAGGAAGCAUUAAUUGUCGCGGCUCUUCUUAUUUACGCUUUGAGCUCGAAACGAAUCCUCAUCUGCAAUCACACAAGGAAUAGUCCAUGUUCCAUAGGCAUGCCCUAAAUUUAGUCCUCCUAAUCGAAAGAACAAUGAUAAUAAUGAAAGUUAACUUUUAUUGAGGUUAUUGUUAACUUUCAUACACAAUUGGAAUACUUAAUACAUAUACCUUCCUUUGUGGCUUCUUCACAUCUUCUCCAGUAAUUCAAAGAAAGGUCAGGAUCCAAUGUUUUUGAUAAGCUCUCAUACUUCUCUUCCGCCUCGCAAAUGCACUUCGCCUGGAAAAGUAAGCUAAUUAUCAAAGAUUGUAAGCUGCUCAAAAACAGAUUAAAGUACUACCGGAUGGUGUUGACAAUGUAAACUCACAGAAAAAAAAUACAACUAGAAACAUUUCACUCAUCUGUUUAUCAUGAAGUUGGAAUUAUUGAGCUUUCCCCUUGCUCAAGAAGGCAAUAAAAUGUUUCCAACUAUUAUAGGCUAGGUUGAACUAGCUGGAGCUUUUAUGCAGAACUAGCUGGAGCUUUUCUCACCCCACUCUAUUUCCAGUGGUAGGUACAUGUCUACCGAGCGAGGACCGCGGCAAGGGCAUCGCGCUCGAUCAGUGAGACCGUAGCAGUACAGUAGCUUUCCUUUUUGCAUUAGCACACCUAUGUAUUUAGAGAGAUUCAUGUAGGUGAGGAUUUGGAGAGCUAUGUAUUUUGGAUGAUCAAAUGUAUUCAUUUUGAGAAAUGAUGUAAAAAGAUGCAAACUAUUGUAAUAGUUAGUAAAGUACUCUCUUUUUU